UCUAUUCUCUCUGUGAUUUUACUGCAUGGACCAUUUUGUUCAUUUGCCAUAAUAUAAAAUCUCUCAACGACCGAAUGAGAGUUCAGUACGAGGUUGACUGAGCGAGAUGGAGGACGUUACAUAUUUUAUGUACAUUUCUACAUCCUCCACCAAAAAGUUUUAGCAAAAAGGAACUCGAAGAGUGUGACAUUUCGGUGAUCAGUAGACAUUUGUAGUUAUAAAGUAUUUCGCUAAAGAAGUAGAAGAAAGACAUCAAGAAUUACACAACAAGUGUGCUUUCCGGCAUGAUGGCGGAAAAGACCACGUGCUAUUCUCCUCGACAUCACACUUUUCAACUGGAGACUGAUUACGACGCCUACGACAUAUUUGCAAAUGUCCGAGAAGGUAUCAUCAAAGUCUUGUCCAUGCCAGGAUCAUCAUCGUCCCAUCGUUUUAAACAGCCUGAUCCUACAACCUGCGAUGAAGCGAACUGACUGACGGAUUUGGCCAGCAAAAAUAAAUGCAUCCCUUCAUAUGCAAAUGCAAGUCUGAAUAUAUAUACACAUCACCUGACCGUUAUGAUGAGAUGAAGGGAACGUUCGUGACCCGAUUGAGAUGGAAGGUGACACUGUAUCGGAUCGUUUCAUCGAGUUUGGCGAAUAUCAAGGAGCCUUGUUUGGAACAGGGAGUAUUAGCAAUUAAAGAUAUAGUAUAAUUAAGAACUGUUAAGCAGCUUAGUAAUUAUGGAAAUUCUUAUGAAUUAUGUUUGGUUUCUUUCUUUCUUUCUUUAUACAUAAGUGGUUAAUUUUGACACGAUGAUAUUAUUUUGAAGGGUGGACAGAAUAGGAAUAACUUAGCAAAAGUUGUUUUUAGGGAGAAUUUUUUAAAGCUACAAGUUAAUGUGCACCAUAACGCUGAAGACCUUGGUAUCAUUAAGGUCAUUCAUUUUAUACGUAAUUUGAGUGACAAGUCUGGGUUGAUAGAUAACUCAAAAUAGAAAUGGUUACCAACAAAGUACAAAUGAGACGAACAAUUUUAAUAAUCUUUAAAACACUCAAUUUGCAUACGCUGAUCAUAUGUACGGACUUGGGAUUGAGAUUUUUAUUAAUUAAUCUAUCAAAAAUGAUGGAACGCUGACAAAAUUCUUAAAAUGUUGAAUUUCAGAGACAAAAUUUCCGUAACUAAUAGAGACUUGCAUGCAAUUUUUUCCCAUUGAAAAACUUUUACAUUGGAGUCUUACAUUAAACCACUCUAUAUACAUAUAUGUAUAUAUGAUAUAUGUAUAAGUUCGGUAACAAGAGAGAGUAACAAUUUGAAUGUAUCAAAUUUAUUACUCAAAAUUUAUAAUACAGACCUAAGUAAUUUCGCAAACAGGUUUUGUUAGAGUCUUCUGAACUGGUCUUGAUUUGAUGAGGGAGGCACGCACUACGCAAGAGAUAGGGGUAACAAUUGUAUUGUAUUAAUUCACUACUCGAAAAACUAUACAUAUAAUCGUAGAAUUAGGUUUAGUAUGAAUUUUCGGGAGAGAUAUAGAUCGAUUUACGCCACCAAUUACAAUUGAAGUAUUUUACUAAGCUUCGUAACGUAGGAUUAAGUUAUUAUAAUUCUAAUUAAAGCCAGGAAAGAAACAAAAAUUUACUAUACAAAUUUUCCUUACAAAUCGCAACGAUCUUAUAGUCUCGCUGGGUCAGUGCGUUCCGAAAUAGUAUUGACUGUUCUGUCGUGGGUAGCAAAGCUAUGGUACAUUAGCUAGGCUACUAUGGUAAUAAAAUGCUCUACAAAUUUCUGUUCAGGUUGAAUUAGAGUCUUCUGAACUGGUCUUGAUUUGAUGAAGGAGACAUGCAGCAAGAAAUAGGGGGCUACAAUUUUGUUGUACUAAUUGAUUGCUCAAGAAAACUAUGCAUAUAAAUUAACGGGUAGGUUUAGUAUCAACUUUGGGGAGAGAUCAAAUGAUCGACUUGCGCAAGCAUUUCGGGCUUGGUGGGCGUAGUAUUUUACCAAACUUCACAAUCUACGAAUUAGUUAUAAUGCUCUAGGAUGCUUUGUCGCCUGCCGUGUUGGACACUACCCAGUGUGAACACCUGGCGGGAUAAUACUACUUGGAAACAUUAAGUGUACAGUAUAGUUUGGCUUAGUACAUUUACAAGAUCCCAUAGUCCGCACAAAGGAAACACUUUUUGCGCUUAUAUAGUUUAACCAUUUACGAGAUCCCACAGUCCGCACAAAGAAAACACUUUUAGUAAUGCAAUUCUUAAAUGUACCUAGAAUUGCAUAAUUGUCCUGAUGCAUAAAAAGUAUGAAAUUUAGAGAAUAGAAAUUUUUUAAAGAUAUUCAGGCUCCAUAAGAGCACACACAACACCAUUAAGAAUUCGCUGGGUUAAACGACUAAGAAAAAGAGAGAUAAUGCAAUUUUUAAAUGUAUCUAAAAAUUGUAUAAUUGUAAUAAUGCAGAAAGAUUAUUAAAUUAGGGGAAUAUAAAAAUAGGCUCCAUAAGAGCACACACAACACCAUGAAAAAUUCGCUGGGUUAACAAGCCCUGAAAUGUUGUUCUGCUGAAAUGUAAUUAGCAGAUGCAACAAUAUUUGUAAACGGAAAGAUAGGUUGCACAUGAGCACACACAACACCAUGAAAAAUUCAAUGGGUUAAAAAGAGUCUAUGUGUAAUGCAAUUUUAACGCACCUAAAAUUUGCAUUACAUUACUAGUUCCACAUGAAAACAAACUUUAAUUAUGAUUUUACGAAUGAUGGUACAUAACGUAUAUAUCCAGUGGGUUUGUAAAUUGCUUUAACGUAUUAGGCAGAUAUGAUUAUAAACCAAAUGCCAGUCCAGAGAUUGAUUGCUUUUUUGAAUAUUUUGUAAAUUGUGGAAUUUAAAUCCUACCAAUAAUUUGCCUGAAUUUAUUAUAAUGCAAAUUUAAAAUAUGAUUGGUAAGCAGUAAGUUCAAACUUACUACUAAAAAUUAAGAAAACACAAACGUGAAACAUGGCUUGGAUAGUGUAUUCUGAACUGAAAUUGAUUGCUCAGGGCUCAGGGCGUAGAAAAGUUACGGUAAACUUGACUACAUCUUACUUUAAAAAAAACUCACGAUUAGGUUUAGUUAGAGUUUUCUGAACUGGUCUUGAUUUGAUGAGGGAGGAAAGUAGCGAGAAAUAGGGUUAUCUGCAUAGUAUAUUUAUUGAGGAGUUUUCCUUAUAUUUAUUCUGUAAAUUUGUCUUGUAUGUACUUGAACAAGCCUUCAUUUAGAGUGUUUUUUGUUGAUAACAUUUUCAAAACUUGUUUGAAAGUUGGCGUCAACAUAUUUUUUUAGACCAUUAUUAUAUUUAGGGAUGUUUUAGCUUUUUAUGUGCACAUUUUGAACUACAUCUAUUUGGGUGUAAUUUUCUGAAUCAAAUAAUUGUACAACAGCGUUGCGUUUAUCAAUACUUGAAAUUUAUUUAUUGCAUUUGUAAAUUUUAAGGUCACAAUUUAUUGUCUAAAUGCAUUUUAAAUAAUGAUUGAAUAGUUACAUACGACAUAUAUGUAUACAAAUUUAUAUUUACAUAUGUUAUCAUAGUACAUUAUUGUUAUACAGAAUAGUUGUCUUUGUAAUUAGAAUUUAAGCGAUGGUCUAUUUUAUAAUGUUAUGAAAUGAAAUGUAUACGAAAAUAGUAAUAAAACUUUAAUAUAAUAAAUAA